CGUAGGUGGCAAGCGUUGUCCGGAUUUACUGGGCGUAAAGAGCGCGCAGGCGGUCGUUCAAGUCGCGUGUGAAAGCCCCCGGCUCAACUGGGGAGGGUCACGCGAUACUGAUCGACUCGAAGGCAGGAGAGGGUAGUGGAAUUCCCGGUGUAGUGGUGAAAUGCGUAGAUAUCGGGAGGAACACCAGUGGCGAAGGCGACUACCUGGCCUGUUCUUGACGCUGAGGCGCGAAAGCUAGGGGAGCAAACGGGAUUAGAUACCCCGGUAGUCCUAGCCGUAAACGAUGGACACUAGGGGUUGGUGGUAUCAACCCCGCCAGUGCCGAAGCUAACGCAUUAAGUGUCCCGCCUGGGGAGUACGGCCGCAAGGCUA
rnacentral:rRNA from 1 species